UACGUAGGGUGCAAGCGUUAUCCGGAAUUAUUGGGCGUAAAGAGCUCGUAGGCGGUUUGUCGCGUCUGCUGUGAAAACUGGAGGCUCAACCUCCAGCCUGCAGUGGGUACGGGCAGACUAGAGUGCGGUAGGGGAGAUUGGAAUUCCUGGUGUAGCGGUGGAAUGCGCAGAUAUCAGGAGGAACACCGAUGGCGAAGGCAGAUCUCUGGGCCGCAACUGACGCUGAGGAGCGAAAGGAUGGGGAGCGAACAGG
rnacentral:rRNA from 1 species